rnacentral:lncRNA from 1 species
GGUUUUGCAUGAAGCAGCAGAACAUGAUGAAGCAUUUUUCCCCCAUCUAAAGAUCCAGUCGUGCUCCAGUUUGCAGAGGGCAAGGGGCUGGUUGCAGGUGGUGCUGGGAGGAUGGAGUAGAGAUGGGGUUUCACCGUGUUAACCAGGAAUGUCUCGAUCUCCUGACCUCGUGAUCCACCCGCCUCAGCCUCCCAAAGUGUUGGGAUUACAGGCGUGAGCUACCACGCCCGGCCCUAGGCUCCACAACUCUAAGAAGCUUUGCCUCACAACAUUGUCAUCAAACCCACUUUCGGCGGUGCAGUGGCUCACACCUCUAAUCCCAGCACUUUGGGCGGCCAAGCGAGAGGAUCGCUUGAGCCCAAGAGCUCGAGACCAGCCCAGGCAACACAGAAAAACCUCAUUUCUACAAAAAAUAAAAUAAAAUAAAAAUAGCUGGGUGUGGUGGCGCGCCUGUGGUCCCAGCUCCUCGGGAGGCUGAGGUGGGAGGAUCGCUUAAACCUGGAGAGGCGGAGGUUGCAGUGAGCCGAGAUCACGCCACGGCACUCCAGCCUCGGCAACAGAGCGAGACCCUGUCACAAACGAACACUCUCCAGAGGGGGAAACCGAGGCCCUGGGACUGCAGAACCGGUUUCUCUGCCUCGGCAUACUGCCUCGGCUGGCUCUGCGCUUGAUAGAAUCGCGCCAGCAACAGCGCCCCCUGCAGGCGACGGCGGGCACGCCUGCGUCACAGCCAUCCCCGCCCUUCCGCAGUGGGAACGCCCGAAUGCUUCAUCCGGCCUCGGAAGAUUGAAGAGCGCUCCUCCAAACUGGCUCAGGGAAGCCGGGCGCGCCGCCUUCAGCCCCGCCUUGGCCGCCGCGGCGUCGCAUCAGUGGCAUCCCCAGGGGCUGCAGGAAGGUAGCCGUAGCCUUGGCUGUCGUGGCUUCCCUCAUCGUAACGGCCUGGGGGCAGCGGUGCUCAAAGAACUCAGGGGGUGGGGCUCAGGUAGGGGCAUGGCCGGUGCUCUUCCUAGGGGCGGGAUCCUGGGAAAGGGGAUCGUCCCAGAAGGACCCAGCCACAAGCGAGGACACCGGUGCAUCAAGCCCUGGCGCCUGUGUUUCCGUGAACAGCGCCCUUCUCCUCCUCCCCAGACAUUGGUCCUGGCACCUGUGUGUCCGUGGGCAGCAGCCUCUUCCUCCUCCCCAGACCUCAGUUUCUGCACGUGUGAAAAGGGGGCUCUUCCAAGACUCUUACAUGAAUGCAAAAAUCGGGAUUUCGUCCAGCAUGCUCAGAAUUGUCGACCCUACACAGGCACCUGAGAAAUCAGAGCUGAGUCAGGAGAGCCGGUGUGGAUGUACUGGGAGCUCCUUCCCUUGCUGCGUCAGCACUCUUGAGACUGGAGAGCCCUGGAGGUUGGGGACCGGCCACUUGCUGGUGGACCAGACUCCCUGCAGUCUGGGAUGGUGACAGACAUGAGACAUGGCUGUGGAAGUAAUUGGUAACAGUAGUAGCCCGCAUUUAUUGAGCACUGACUAUGUGCUUGGCUUUGUGUGAAGGCCAGUCACAUGCAUUAUUUCCCCCUCCCACAGCCUUGUCUGGUGGGUACUGCUAUUCUGUCCCCAGUUUACUGAUGAGACAUUUGAGGCCCAGAGUUGCUGGGUAGUAACCAGUCCAAAGUCACCCUGCUGACAAGUAGCUGAAGCAGUAGUCCCCAGUCUUACCUACUAUACUGUACUGAGAAAGGUUUGACCUGGAAGGCAGAAUGGCAGAGGGGGAAAUGACAAGGUUCUAGCAGUAUUAAUAAUAGAUACCAUGCAUUGAGCACCCACUAAGUGCUGGGUGCUGGCCCAAGGGCAUUUCAUGAAUCAUUUAUCCUCCUGACAGUGAACCCUAUACUGUAAAUUUUAUUUCCAUUUCAAAGGUGAAGCUCGGAGAAGUCACUUUAUAUGCCUUAGGGCACAUAUAGUAAAAAACUAACUUUUCGAUUCAUUGAUGGUGCAUUCUGCCUGCCUGCAUGUCACUCUUAGGCAUAUUCCACUCUUCUCUGAGUCAAGCUUUCUCCUACUGUGAAAUGAGAGGCUUGGACUGGGAGACUUUGAAUGUUCUUUCCCCAGCCGAUGUUGUUUGAUUUUAGGGAGUUUUGACAUGAAUGUUGGAGAUCUGGAUUUGAGGAUUACAUUUGUUCCUAAUUAACUGUAAUUUAGGCACAUCUCUGCAUCUCUGGGCUUCAGUUUCCGCAUUAGUAAAAGGUAAGACUAGACCAGGCAUGUUGGCUCAUGUCUGUAAUCCCAGAACUUUGGGAGGCUGAGGAGGAAGGAGGAUUGCUUGAAGCCAGGAGUUUGAGUCCAGCCUGGGCAACAAAACAAGACCCUGUCUCUACAAUAAAAAAAAAUUAAAAAGUUCAAAUUAGCCAGGUGCAGUGGCUCAUGCUUGAAGUCCCAGCUACUUGGAGAGCUGAGGUGGGAUACUCACUUGAGCCCAGGAGUUUGAGGCUGCAGUGAGCUAUAAUCAUGCCACUGCGCUCUAUCCUGGGCAACAGAGCGAGGCCCCGUCUCUAAAAAGAAAAUGGGCUGGGCACGGUGACUCACACCUGUAAUCCUAACACUUUGGGUGGCUGAGGUGGGAGGAUCACUUGAUCCCAGGAGUUUGAGACCAGCCUGGGCAACAUGGCAAAACCCUGUCUCUACGAAAAAUACAAAAAACUGGCUAGGCAUGGUGACAUGUACCUGUGGUUCCAGCUAUCUAGCUAUCCGGGAGGUGGAGGCAGAAGGAUCACCUGAGCCCAGGAGGUUGAGACUGCAGUGAUCCAUGAUCACGCCACAGCCUUGGCAACAGAGUGAGACCCUGUCUCAAAAAAAAAGAAAAAAAAAUUACAGAGAUUAGCAUUUCCAAUCACCAGAGUGCCUUCUGGCUUGAAUAUUUUAUGACUGCAGAUGAAGAGACAACCUGAGGUUCAGCAAACUGCAUCCUCUGAGAAAGUCUAAUGAACGUAAAUCUGCUACCUUACUCAGAAUGUCCCUGGCACAAGUUUCCAAGGAUAGACCCUCUGUGUGAAGGGGAGCAGCUGCCUUUGAGCAAUCAGCAGUAACUGCUUGGGGAGGCUUAGUCCCCUAAUAGUUCAGAAGUCACCUCCAAGGUCAGACGGACCCACAGCUGAACGCCAACACUUCCACUUCUCGGAAAGCCCAACGUGUAAACUGAUGACAGACUAUCCUGGAGGAAGAGGUGGGGCAGCCUGGAGUUUUCCUCUGGACAUCCUGAGAGGGAUACUGAAGCACUCAGGAGGGGUCUUAGACCUGCCCAAGCUCACUCACACAGUUUGAGAAGAGCUGCGCUUAGACCACAGGCCUCUUGGCUCCUGGGAAGCUGAGAGCAUCGGCGUGGGAGUUCGUCAGACAGGGGCAAGUUCCAACCGCAGCUCAGUGACCUCAGACAAGCCCCCUCACCUCGCAGAACCAGGUUCUUCUUCAGAGUUGUAGGAAGGAGUGGAGGAGGGUCUCCGCAUGUCAGAUGUCCACACAGUGCCUGGGAGCUGAGGUUGUCAUGGUUACCAAGAGGCCAGUCUCAGGGCUGCUGUGAUGACCUGGGCUGCUCUCCCAUUCCCAAGAAGGGGAGAACUCCUCAGAUUCCCUACUCUGCUCUUCUUGCUCCCUCCCAAGCAAUACAUGAGCAGGAAUUUGUCCUCUGCAGGAAUGUGCAGCGAGAAAGUCUCCUUUUUUGAUGAGACAGCGAUGAGGUGAUGUCUGGUUUUUUAUAUCCUCACUUGCUGAACUGGUGCCAGAUGUAAGAGUCCAGGCUGGAUUCCAUUAGCCAUAUUUGUCCUCUGGGCUCCCAGCCCUGCAGGACCUUCUGGGGGCCCACCUUGAGACCCUCCAGUUGGUAAGAAGUUGGCUGGGGCAAAUGAUGCAGCCCUAAGACGAACCAUUUCCACUGGGGACUCAGGCAGGGUCCCUGAGAGCCUGACUUACUCGAGUCUUUUCUUUAAAAAUUAAAAAAACAAGGCUGGGCGCGGUGGCUCACGCCUGUAAUCCC